AGUGAACGCUGGCGGUAGGCCUAACACAUGCAAGUCGAACGGCAGCACAGUAAGAGCUUGCUCUUACGGGUGGCGAGUGGCGGACGGGUGAGGAAUACAUCGGAAUCUACUUUUUCGUGGGGGAUAACGUAGGGAAACUUACGCUAAUACCGCAUACGACCUACGGGUGAAAGCAGGGGAUCUUCGUACCUUGCGCGAUUGAAUGAGCCGAUGUCGGAUUAGCUAGUUGGCGGGGUAAAGGCCCACCAAGGCGACGAUCCGUAGCUGGUCUGAGAGGAUGAUCAGCCACACUGGAACUGAGACACGGUCCAGACUCCUACGGGAGGCAGCAGUGGGGAAUAUUGGACAAUGGGCGCAAGCCUGAUCCAGCCAUACCGCGUGGGUGAAGAAGGCCUUCGGGUUGUAAAGCCCUUUUGUUGGGAAAGAAAAGCAGCAGGUUAAUACCCCGCUGUUCUGACGGUACCCAAAGAAUAAGCACCAGCUAACUUCGUG
rnacentral:rRNA from 1 species